CUGCGCUUCUUGCGAGGCGCCAGCGGCGGCGUGGUGAGAGUGAGCUUUCGAGAAGCCCUGGUGGCUUCCAUGUGAUGGUGGAGGAGGAGGCAAGUCUCAGCGGUUUGUCUGGAGUGCUCUAAAUGACACUGUUUCAUUAUUUUGAUGGCCAAGAAUAUUCCCUCAUGUAUGUGUACAAGAGUUUCUUGAUUCCUUUAUCUGUGGAUGAACAGGUCAUUUGCCAUGAUGUCCUGCAGGUUCAAGAGUAUGGCUCCAAAUGAUGAAAUUUCAUUCUGCUUUACUGGCUGAAGACUAUUUGUGUGUAUCCACCACAGUUACUUUAUCCCUUCACCUGUGGAUGGGCAGGUAAGUUUAUUCUUUAUCUUGGCAAUUGCGAAUAGUGAUGCAGUCCACAUACGAUGGCAGAUAUCUCUUACAUGACUGAUUUCUUUUGCACUGAAAGUAUCCUUAGUAGUAGAAUUGUUAGAUGAAGUGGUAGUUGUAGGUUAAUUUUUGUGUUUUUGCUAGUAAGUGGUGUUAGUUGCUUAGGCAUUUUGAAGGCAACCUUUUAUCAGAUGUAUGUUUGCUGAAUCCUUUCUUGUAAACCUCAGGAUGAUUUUUUAUUUUCUUCAUGGAUUUUUUUAAAUAUGCUUGGGCACAAACUCUAGAGUGUGAUGCAGUCCUACAUGUGUCUGUUUUCUUGGUUUCCUGUGAUGUAGGUGACGGAUGAAGAAAA